CAAAAAAAAAAAAAAAAAAAAUGAAUUUGAAAAUAUGUAAAGAUCUAAUAUUCAAGUACAAAAAUAAAUGUUAAUGAGGUCUUCUAUAAGACAAUAUCUUUACAAUGUAAAUAGUAAUCUUUACGUAAGAAAAUGAAACAGCUGUUGAGAUUAUGAAGCGUCAAUGAUAAACUGCUAUGAGAUGAACAUGUUGUAUACCAGCAAGCAAUGACCACAUUGAAUUAGAAGGUCAAGGUCAUCAUGAUCUUUAUUCUACAUAGGUGGCGCCGAGACAUCAAUAUCAUCAAGUUGAAAAAAAUGGAUAGGAAAAUAAAUGAAAACAAAAAAAUACAAGUAAAUGUUUACAUCAAAUUCCUUUUUUUCUUUGGUGAAAAUUUCACAAAAUUAUAAAAUUAAUAAUAAAAAUUCUCACUUUAUAAAAUGUUUGUAAGCUACCUGUACUCAAAUAAAUGUAAAUAUUCUACAUAACCAUAAAUGUCCAGGUUUGUACUGAUUUAAAAAAAAAUAAUAAAAUAAAAAACGUUAUUCGUUAUAUAUAUUAUAAAAAAAAAAAGCAUUUUACAUUGUAUGUCAACCUAAGUGAAUUUUUUGUUCAGAAUAUUAUUAUUUACUAUUCUAUUUUCCAUUUCAUUAAAUAGCCUUAAAAAAAAAAAAAAAAA